GACAGAGGUUGCAAACGUUGUUCGGAAUCACUGGGCAUAAAGCGCACGUAGGCGGUCUGUUAAGUCAGGUGUGAAAGCCCCAGGCUCAACCGGGGAAUUGCAUUUGAUACUGGCAGGCUCGAGAACGGUAGGGGUGAGUGGAACUCCAGGUGGAGCGGUGAAAUGCGUAGAUAUCUGGAGGAACACCGGUGGCGAAAGCGGCUCACUGGACUGUCACUGACGCUGAGGUGCGAAAGCUAGGGUAGCAAACGGG
rnacentral:rRNA from 1 species